AUUGAACGCUGGCGGCAGGCCUAACACAUGCAAGUCGAACGAGUGGCGGACGGGUGAGUAAUGUCUGGGAAACUGCCUGAUGGAGGGGGAUAACUACUGGAAACGGUAGCUAAUACCGCAUACCAUCGGAUGUGCCCAGAUGGGAUUAGGUAGUAGGUGGGGUAACGGCGCAACUAGGCGACGACCCCUAGCUGGUCUGAGAGGAUGACCAGCCACACUGGAACUGAGAAACGGGCCAGACUCCGACGGGAGGCAGCAGGGGGGAAUAUUGCACAAUGGGCGCAAGCCUGAUGCAGCCAAGCCGCGUGUAUGAAGAAGGCCUUCGGGUUGUAAAGUACUUUCAGCGGGGGUGCGUUACCCGCAGAAGAAGCACCGGCUAACUCCGUGCCAGCAGCCGCGGUAAUAC
rnacentral:rRNA from 1 species